UAGAUAUAUAAGGAGAUUCUUUCAGCCCAACCAUGGGUAGAACAAAAAGAGAGUAGAAAUAUCUGCCGACUCAUCCAUCCAAACACUUGUGGUACAAAGAAUAAAAUUUUAAGCCACAGUGACUGUAUGAAUGAUGCGGGAGAUGUUUUUACCUCUUUAUCUGUGUUUGGACUGAAGGGAGCUCCUUCUCUUUCUAUG
rfam:Brassica napus, WGS project CCCW01000000 data, contig: 12068